rnacentral:rRNA from 1 species
AUUGAACGCUGGCGGCAGGCCUAACACAUGCAAGUCGAGCGGCAGCGGGAAAGUAGCUUGCUACUUUUGCCGGCGAGCGGCGGACGGGUGAGUAAUGCCUGGGAAAUUGCCCAGUCGAGGGGGAUAACAGUUGGAAACGACUGCUAAUACCGCAUACGCCCUACGGGGGAAAGCAGGGGACCUUCGGGCCUUGCGCGAUUGGAUAUGCCCAGGUGGGAUUAGCUAGUUGGUGAGGUAAUGGCUCACCAAGGCGACGAUCCCUAGCUGGUCUGAGAGGAUGAUCAGCCACACUGGAGCUGAGACACGGUCCAGACUCCUACGGGAGGCAGCAGUGGGGAAUAUUGCACAAUGGGGGAAACCCUGAUGCAGCCAUGCCGCGUGCGUGAAGAAGGCCUUCGGGUUGUAAAGCACUUUCAGCGAGGAGGAAAGGUUGAUGCCUAAUACGUAUCAACUGUGACGUUACUCGCAGAAGAAGCACCGGCUAACUCUGUGCCAGCCGCCGCAGUAAGAC